rnacentral:rRNA from 1 species
AGUGAACGCUGGCGGUAGGCCUAACACAUGCAAGUCGAACGGCAGCACAGUAAGAGCUUGCUCUUACGGGUGGCGAGUGGCGGACGGGUGAGGAAUACAUCGGAAUCUACUUUUUCGUGGGGGAUAACGUAGGGAAACUUACGCUAAUACCGCAUACGACCUACGGGUGAAAGCAGGGGAUCUUCGGACCUUGCGCGAUUGAAUGAGACGAUGUCGGAUUAGCUAGUUGGCGAGGUAAAGGCCCACCAAGGCGACGAUCCGUAGCUGGUCUGAGAGGAUGAUCAGCCACACUGGAACUGAGACACGGUCCAGACUCCUACGGGAGGCAGCAGUGGGGAAUAUUGGACAAUGGGCGCAAGCCUGAUCCAGCCAUACCGCGUGGGUGAAGAAGGCCUUCGGGUUGUAAAGCCCUUUUGUUGGGAAAGAAAAGCAGCAGGUUAAUACCCCGCUGUUCUGACGGUACCCAAAGAAUAAGCACCGGCUAACUUCGUG